GGCCCUUGAAAUCAGAAGACUUCUUACAACUCCGGGAGAUAUCCCUGCUAAAGGACAGGCAGCAUCAGAGUCUGACUCCACAGGGAGCCGAAACAUGCCAUGGUGGAGUUACAGGAACAGCCAGCCACAAGGUAGAGAAGCCCUUGGAAGGGUGAGAACAGGAGAUGGGGCUCCUGGGGCUGCAGACAGCUGAUCCUCAGCUGCGUCUUUCCAUACACCAUGGCUCUUCAGGCCACUGUGGUGCCAGGUGACUGAGAUGACAAAUGCCACCAUCCGGAAAAGAAUGCCUAUCCUGAAAGGAACUCAGAACGCAUCAGCCCAAGCCUGUGAAAUGCCUUGAUGGCUUCAAAUGACAGUGGAAUUGUAAUAAACUAUUUCCAAAAC
rnacentral:lncRNA from 1 species